GUGUAAAAGCGCUUUGAGUAGUCUAAAGACUAGAAAAUAGUCAGAACCACUUACCAUUUACAACAGUGCAGGCCACAGGCCACUGCAGCUCGAGUCAAGGACAAUUUUGCCCACUGUUAGGGGAUAAUGGUGCUCAGUUAUGGUGCGUUCCAUUUGAUUACUCCUUGGUGCGAACCCGAUUGGAGGGGGGUUGGAGGUGUGCCGCUGGAGGAGAGCGGAGGCUGCAGUAUGGCGGAGGUGUCGCCAAACAGCAGUUUGUUUUGGUUUCAUGCUGGUGCUCAAGGGCGAUGUCUGUACUGGAUCAAAAAGUUGCACAUUCUUCCUUUAAGCUGAUCAAAUUCACAACUUUUUAUUUACAUUUAACACAAACAAAGUGCUUUAAAUAACUUUUAAAAAAUCCAUCUGUCAAACUCAGAUCAAUCCAUCAGUUUGAUUUAUAUAUACUCAGCUUCAGACCUGACACAUUGUACUUUCAUUUGGUGUAACUUGUGACAUGUACAGGCUCCUAUACUGUGCAGUUCAAAUCAAAUCAAAGUCAAACAGCUCUGAACUUCUGGUUAUUGUGUUGCUAUGGUCUUGUCAAGUCAAAGUGACUUUUGAAGUACUUACACUGAGCAAGUGUAUUUCAUGCCUUGCAGUGCACUGUGUGACAAGCAGACGAGUGCUGACAGAGAAACCUGUGUCAAAGCAAACAUUGUGGAUGGUUGCUAAUAAUGUACACACACACAUAUGGAAAAUCCAGAGGGAAUGACUACAAGAUAAACUACAACCGCAUAUUCUGAAUCCAAAAUUAGCUUUGCAACGGCCUUCUGCCUUAAUAAAUAUCCUAUCUAAGUACCUUACACUGUGACUAAUGGUGGUAAAUCUCUGAAAGCGCACUCUAUACGAGUCCCUUUGUUAUGUUACUCACAUGAUUGGUGGAUAACUAUUUCACUCCAACACUCUAGAGUCAAUCUGGUCAUUUCUGAAGCUGCCCUUUAACAAUUCUCCAAAAAUUGUGAAAUCUGAAUAUUUGCAUGAAUCUAUUGAAUUAAGGAAAAAGUCAGAUUUUAUGAAUGUACAUGUAAUCAUUGAAUGCCCAUUCAUGCUUUGGGAGGGACAGGAAAACAAAUAUUCAGUUAUUGAAUUGGUUCCAAUUAUUCACAUGAGAAUGAGAAACCAGAUUUAUUUUCCUGUUCAUGUAUACUUUUGCAAUCAAUAAAGCCUUGAAGAAAA